rnacentral:rRNA from 1 species
UACAGAGGGUGCGAGCGUUAAUCGGAAUUACUGGGCGUAAAGGGCGCGUAGGCGGACAUUUAAGUUAGAUGUGAAAUCCCUGGGCUUAACCUAGGAACUGCAUCUGAAACUGGAUGACUGGAGUGCAGUAGAGGAUAGUGGAAUUUCCGGUGUAGCGGUGAAAUGCGUAGAUAUCGGAAGGAACACCAGUGGCGAAGGCGGCUAUCUGGACUGACACUGACGCUGAGGCGCGAGAGCGUGGGGAGCAAACAGG